GAAUGAACAGGCCGACAACGAGAGAGAAGAAGAAAAGACGAGAGACAAGUGUCAAUGCUGAGACCUCAAAGCAAACAGAGGAGUCCAUUUAAAGAGGAGACGGACGAGUUUGGAGACAACAAGAGGUCGGCACAACAUUUAGAAUCAGCUGCAAAAACAGAGUUUGCAAAUCAAAUCUGAAUAAAUAUAGAUCCAUGAAUAA